UGCUCAGUGAUUAUAACUUUAUUGCUGUUCACAUUCUGAAACAUUUUUGUUGAUAGUUUUAAGUUAUGAGAGCA